AAUGAACUCUGCUGGCCUGUCGUUUGGAGGAGGGGCUGGAAAGUUGGCACAUGAUGGUGAAGACUCACUCCGAUGCCAGCACGUGCAUCCAUCAACCAGAGGAUAAACAGAGCCAGAAAUCAAGGUGGUGGGUUCUCUCAGUGAAGCGAAACUUCCAGCCACCUCCAUGGUGGGGAAGGUGGGGUUAGAAUUUCAAAUGCAUUCAGAGGCAGGCUGAGGGAGAAAGGUGGAGGGAGUUACUUUCCACUUUUAGAAAGAAGGGAAAGAGGUAAAAACUGUUCCUCUAAGGAGGUAGAAUCCAGGGACAGCCUCUUUCCUGAUGAGAGUCCAAGUGGCUGGACUCUCCUCCUGUGGAAAUGGGGUAACUGAGGUUACUCACUGAGCUUUUAAUGGUCUCUGGGUCCCUAGUCUGAACUACAGUCUCCACCGCCCCCACCAGUGGAGCACUAGACAUGUAGUGUGGUGACUCCAGCACAGGACAGCAGGUGGGCUAUCCAAGCAGGUGGAUCUUGUCCCUAAUUGUUCUUUGUGUGUCUGAGACUGGCACACGUUGUGUUUCUAGAUAUAAAAAGAUUCUCUAGUUGAAUAUGUGGACAAGAUAGAAUAACAACACAGAGCCCCUCCCUCAAGAGACUAUAAGAGGUGAUGAAGGAUCAUUUCACAGAGAAAAAAAGUACCAGCCAUCUGAAACCAGAGUCCCACCACCCAUUCACAAGCGUCCAGAUCCUUCAAAUCUCUAGGGAGAGAUGAGCGGUCACACGAGGUAAACCCACGAUGGAAACGACAGACUGGAGGAUGUGCUGUGAGGUAUGCUGAAGUCAGGAACUAGUCACCCACUUCAGGAUUAGGACCAAAAAGAGCCAAGUGCCAGGUUCACACUGUUAACCAAAAGAGAUGUCCAGGGUGAAUUUUAAAGUACCAAAAGCUGAGUGUUGUUAGGGCACUCAAUAAACACAUCUUGCCAGAGUCUUAAAAGUGUGUCCCCUAUUUAUGGGCAAGAUGUAAUUUACACAUAAGUGUAGAACUUUUUAGAUUCAACCCCAAAUUCUCCAAAGAUGAGAGUGGUACAGAGAAGGGGAUACCUUUAGCUCUACAGUGCCUGUUCUAGCCUCCUUGGUCAGCUGGGCCCUGCUCUCCCACAUCCGUCACGGCUACUGCUUCCUGCCCCACUGGCCAGCAGGGCAGCAUCUCUCAGCCCAUCACCUAGCGAGGCCCUAACAGUUCUAACCACAUACUCCCUUAAUAAAUCAACUAAGACCUCUUUUAAAAAGUGACACUACAA